rnacentral:rRNA from 1 species
AACGAACGCUGGCGGCAUGCCUAACACAUGCAAGUCGAGCGAGACCUCCGGGUCUAUUCGUGCAUGAUGGCGUAACGCGUGGGAACCUGCACUUAUGGUCGGAAUAACUCUCCGAAAGGGGUGCUAAUACCGGAUAAUGUCUUCGAACGAAAGAUUUAUCGCACCGGAUGGGUCAAAAGUGGAAGAGGAUCUUGUUGUGGCUAUUGGAUGGCCCCGCGUUGGAUUAGCUAGUUGGUAGGGUAAAAGCCUACCAAGGCGACGAUCCAUAGCUGGUCUGAGAGGAUGAUCAGCCACACUGGGACUGAGACACGGCCCAGACUCCUACGGGAGGCAGCAGUGGGGAAUAUUGGACAAUGGGCGAAAGCCUGAUCCAGCAAUGCCGCGUGAGUGAUGAAGGCCUUAGGGUUGUAAAGCUCUUUUACCCGGGAUGAUAAUGACAGUACCGGGAGAAUAAGCUCCGGCUAACUCCGUG